rnacentral:rRNA from 1 species
UGACAUACACUGCGAUGGUUCCAGAGAUGGGCCAGCCUUCGGGGUGGUGUACAGGUGGUGCAUGGUUGUCGUCAGCUCGUGUCGUGAGAUGUUGGGUUAAGUCCCGCAACGAGCGCAACCCUUGCCUCAUGUUGCCAGCGGUUCGGCCGGGGACUCGUGAGGGACUGCCGGGGUUAACUCGGAGGAGGGUGGGGAUGACGUCAAAUCAUCAUGCCCCUUAUGUCUUGGGCUUCACGCAUGCUACAAUGGNCAGUACAGAGGGUUGCGAUACCGUGAGGUGGGGCUAAUCUCUUAAAGCUGGUCUCGGUUCGGAUUGGGGUCUGCAACUCGNCCCCAUGAAGUUGGAGUCGCUAGUAAUCGCAGAUCANA